rnacentral:rRNA from 1 species
CCCUUAGACGUUCUGGGCCGCACGCGCGCUACACUGGCCGGUGCAACAAGCAUCCGUCCUUGGCCGACAGGCCCGGGCAAUCUUUGAACGCCGGUCGUGAUGGGGAUAGACUUUUGCAAUUUUUGGUCUUCAACGAGGAAUUCCUAGUAAACGCAAGUCAUCAACUUGCAUUGACUACGUCCCUGCCCUUUGUACACACCGCCCGUCGCACCUACCGAUUGAAUGGUCCGGUGAAGCCUCCGGAUUGGCGCGCACCUCGGUGCCGCCGAGAAGUUGGCUAAACCUUACCAUUUAGAGGAAGGUGAAGUCGUAACA